rnacentral:rRNA from 1 species
AGUGAACGCUGGCGGUAGGCCUAACACAUGCAAGUCGAACGGCAGCACAGUAAGAGCUUGCUCUUACGGGUGGCGAGUGGCGGACGGGUGAGGAAUACAUCGGAAUCUACUUUUUCGUGGGGGAUAACGUAGGGAAACUUACGCUAAUACCGCAUACGACCUACGGGUGAAAGCAGGGGAUCUUCGGACCUUGCGCGAUUGAAUGAGCCGGUGUCGGAUUAGCUAGUUGGCGGGGUAAAGGCCCACCAAGGCGACGAUCCGUAGCUGGUCUGAGAGGAUGAUCAGCCACGCUGGAACUGAGACACGGUCCAGACUCCUACGGGAGGCAGCAGUGGGGAAUAUUGGACAAUGGGCGCAAGCCUGAUCCAGCCAUACCGCGUGGGUGAAGAAGGCCUUCGGGUUGUAAAGCCCUUUUGUUGGGAAAGAAAAGCAGCAGGUUAAUACCCCGCUGUUCUGACGGUACCCAAAGAAUAAGCACCGGCUAACUUCGUG